UGUCUAUCCUUUUAACCAAAUGCAGUUUGCUGUGCACAUUUAAGCAUCGUAAUUUAAAUGCAUGUUGUUUUGCAAAUUUAUCACUUUGUUAUAGAUCUUUAUUUUUCAUUUUGCAGUAUGUUCUUUUUCUUUUCUUUAACUGUUUUGACUUUUUAUUGGAACAAUCAAAAAAGACAUAUCAAUAAGAGUUGUAGUUGAAUAAAACAUUAUUUAUAUCAAAUUUUGUAUCGUAAUAGUAUAUGAUAAGCGCAAUAAAAAGAGUCUUUGCAAGCCAUGGAAUUCCAAGUGAGUAAUUAGAGCUAGAGAAAACGUAUUGAAAGGUGCAGUAGACUGGACUAUAUUUGUAUGAGCAGAAAAAAAAACGUUUACAAUUUCUGAGAAACACACGUUAAUCAGUUAUUAAAUAUGAUAGACCAUAUUCAUGAAUGACCACCUAACGUUUCACACCAGUUUUCAUUUUGACACUUCAACUAAGACUUGUACGUAUUGUAUACACAUGCAAGAUGCGUCUAUUGAUAUUUUCAAGGAGAAGUUUUAUUUUGAGUGAGACAGGAACACCUAUAAUUAUUAGACCAAGUGGAGAAGUGGACUCCUUCAAAUUAAAACUCCACGGAAACAAAACGAAAACCAUUCAGGGAGGGAUCCAGCUUGUCAGGUAAGGGUUCACACCAUUCAGGGACGGAUCCAGCUUGUCAGCUGAUUGAUCUGGAUACCCUACUCAUAUGCGUUGAUACAAACUUCAUCAGCUUCAUCUUUACAGCUUUAUUGCUGCUUUGAGUUUCUCCUUUGGUGAUUCAAAUCCAAAAUCUUAGGGUUAGAGGACUCAGGAGUAGAUGAGAACAAGCCAACAAGUAUGCAGGCCCUGAAGGCAGGGGAAGAUUCAAGGAUAGGCUACUGAGCAUGAGAACUACUGCAGCCAUGGUUGGUCUAUCAGAAAUAUUUUCUUGAACGCACAGUAAUGCUAUGUGAAUGCAUCUCAUUAUGUCACGAGCCAUUCCUGAGCUUCCCCUCAACAUGGGGUCUAUCAAAUUUGUAGUUGUUUCUUCGCGCCAGUUCAUCCAAGCCUGUCACAUUUUAAUUCAGAGUUUGGAAUCUUACAUUGAUUAUGUAAAAGAAUUUGAUGCAUAAGGAUGGUGUCCCACCUAGUUCGGCAUUCAGGGGUAUUUGAUUAAUUAACUUGGUUACUUACAUUGCU